GACGAACGCUGGCGGCGUGCUUAACACAUGCAAGUCGAACGGUGAAGCGCCUUCCUUUUUGGUGGGUGUGGAUGAGUGGCGAACGGGUGAGUAACACGUGAGUAACCUGCCCCCUUCUUCUGGAUAACCGCAUGAAAGUGUGGCUAAUACGGGAUAUUCUGGGUCUGUCGCAUGAUGGGUCUGGGAAAGAUAUUGUUUCGGUGGGGGAUGGGCUCGCGGCCUAUCAGCUUGUUGGUGGGGUGAUGGCUUACCAAGGCGGUGACGGGUAGCCGGCCUGAGAGGGUGGACGGUCACACUGGGACUGAGACACGGCCCAGACUCCUACGGGAGGCAGCAGUGGGGAAUAUUGCACAAUGGGCGCAAGCCUGAUGCAGCGACGCCGCGGGAGGGAUGGAGGCCUUCGGGUUGUGAACCUCUUUCGCCAGUGAAGCAGGCCUGCCUCGUUUGUGGGUGGGUUGACGGUAGCUGGAUAAGAAGCGCCGGCUAACUACGUG
rnacentral:rRNA from 1 species